CAAUAGCGUAUAUUAAAGUUGUUGCAGUUAAAAAGCUCGUAGUUGGAUUUCUGGUGGGAGCGAUCGGUCUGGCGCUUAGCGCGAGUACUUGCAUCGUCUCCGGCCAUCCUUGGGGAAAGUCUGUCUGGCAUUAAGUUGUCGGGCAGAGGAUCCUCAUCGUUUACUGUGAAAAAAUUAGAGUGUUCAAAGCAGGCUUAUGCCGUUGAAUAUAUUAGCAUGGAAUAAUAAGAUAGGACUUUGGUACUAUUUUGUUGGUUUGCGCACCAAAGUAAUGAUUAAUAGGGACAGUUGGGGGUAUUCGUAUUCCGUUGUCAGAGGUGAAAUUCUUGGAUUUACGGAAGACGAACUACUGCGAAAGCAUUUACCAAGGAUGUUUUUAUUAA
rnacentral:rRNA from 1 species